UUCUGACUGGUUGUUGUGUGUUAAUGCAGUGUAGAGAGGGGGAGUGAAUAUGUAUUACUGGGCUAGGAAGUUAAGGGAUGGGCUCCAUUGGGAAGACACACAGACGGACAUCUGCUACACACACACACACACACACACACACACACACACACACACACACACACACACACACACACACACACACACACACACACACACACACACAUUUUCUCUAAUACCUCAAGACAAGCAAUAGAAGGCUUGUUAUUCUCUUUCUCAAUUCAAUUAAAUUCACAUGGCUUUCUUGGUAUGUUAAACAUAUGUUUACAUUGCCAAAGCGAGUGAAAUGGAUCAUUAACAAAAGUCAAAUAAACACUCACAACAGUUUCAGAGGAAUAGAGACAUUUCAAAUGUCAUAUUAUGCCUGUGUACAGUGUUGUAAUGAUAUGCAAAUAGUUAAAGUACAGAAGGGAAAAUAAAUAAACAUAACUCUCUCCUCUCCCUCUUCUUCGAAUCCGUCUCCUUCUCUCUCUCCUCUCCCUCUGUUUCAAAUCCGUCUCCUUCUCUCUCUCCCUCUUUUUCAAAUCCGUCUCCUUCUCUCUCUCUCUCCUCUCCCUCUGUUUCAAAUCCGUCUCCUUCUCUCUCUCCUCUCCCUCUGUUUCAAAUCCGUCUCCUUCUCUCUCUCUCCUCUCCUUCUGUUUCAAAUCCGACUCCUUCUCUCUCUCCCUCUGUUUCAAAUCCGACUCCUCUCUCUCUCCUCUCCUCUCCCUCUGUUUCAAAUCCGUAUCCUUCUCUCUCUCUCCUCUCCUUCUGUUUCAAAUCCGACUCCUUCUCUCUCUCCUCUCCCUCUGUUUCAAAUCCGACUCCUUCUCUCUCUCUCCUCUCCUCUCCCUCUGUUUCAAAUCCUCCUUCUCUCUCCUCUCCCUCUGUUUCAAAUCCUUCUCUCUCCUCUCCCUCUGUUUCAAAUCCUCCUUCUCUCUCCUCUCCCUCUGUUUCAAAUCCUCCUUCUUUCUCCUCUCCCUCUGUUUCAAAUCCUUCUCUCUCUCCUCUCCCUCUGUUUCAAAUCCGUCUCCUCUCUCUCUCCUUUCCCUCUGUUUCAAAUCCUCCUCUCUCUCCUCUCCCUCUGUUUCAAAUCCGUCUCCUUCUCUCUCUCCUCUCCCUCUGUUUCAAAUCCUCCUUCUCUCUCCUCUCCCUCUGUUUCAAGUCCUUCUCUCUCUCCUCUCCCCCUGUUUCAAAUCCGUCUCCUUCUCUCUCUCCUCUCCCCCUGUUUCAAAUCCGUCUCCUUCUCUCUCUCCUCUCCCCCUGUUUCAAAUCCGUCUCCUCCUCUCUCUCCUCUCCCUCUGUUUCAAAUCCUCCUCUCUCUCCUCUCCCUCUGUUUCAAAUCCUCCUCUCUCUCCUCUCCCUCUGUUUCAAAUCCUUCUCUCUCUCCUCUCCCUCUGUUUCAAAUCCUCCUCUCUCUCCUCUCCCUCUGUUUCAAAUCCUCCUCUCUCUCCUCUCCCUCUGUUUCAAAUCCUUCUCUCUCUCCUCUCCCUCUGUUUCAAAUCCUCCUCUCUCUCCUCUCCCUCUGUUUCAAAUCCUUCUCUCUCUCCUCUCCCUCUGUUUCAAAUCCUCCUCUCUCUCCUCUCCCUCUGUUUCAAAUCCUCCUCUCUCUCCUCUCCCUCUGUUUCAAAUCCUCCUCUCUCUCCUCUCCCUCUGUUUCAAAUCCUUCUCUCUCUCCUCUCCCUCUGUUUCAAAUCCUCCUUCUCUCUCCUCUCCCUCUGUUUCAAAUCCUCCUCUCUCUCCUCUCCCUCUGUUUCAAAUCCUCCUCUCUCUCCUCUCCCUCUGUUUCAAAUCCUCCUCUCUCUCCUCUCCCUCUGUUUCAAAUCCUCCUCUCUCUCCUCUCCCUCUGUUUCAAAUCCUCCUCUCUCUCCUCUCCCUCUGUUUCAAAUCCUCCUCUCUCUCCUCUCCCUCUGUUUCAAAUCAGCAUAUUUUCUAAGAUGUUAUUAGCAGCAGCUGUCACUCACACCUAGUUGUUGCAUCUAAUUCUCUGGUGUAUGUAUGUGAGAGGGAGGUACUUCUAAAGUGGGACUGUACUAGGUGUGGUUGUUAGCUGUAUCCAGUGAGACUGUACUAGGUGUGGUUGUUAGCUGUAUCCAGUGGGACUGUACUAGGUGUGGUUGUUAGCUGUUUCCAGUGGGACUGUACUAGGUGUGGUUGUUAGCUGUAUCCAGUGGGACUGUACUGGGUGUGGUUGUUAGCUGUAUCCAGUGGGACUGUACUAGGUGUGGUUGUUAGCUGUAUCCAGUGGGACUGUACUAGGUGUGGUUGUUAGCUGUAUCCAGUGAGACUGUACUAGGUGUGGUUGUUAGCUGUUUCCAGUGAGACUGUACUAGGUGUGGUUGUUAGCUGUAUCCAGUGAGACUGUACUAGGUGUGGUUGUUAGCUGUAUCCAGUGGGACUGUACUAGGUGUGGUUGAUAGAUAGCUGUAUCCAGUGGGACUGUACUAGGUGUGGUUGUUAGCUGUAUCCAGUGGGACUGUACUAGGUGUAGUUGAUAGAUAGCUGUAUCCAGUGGGACUGUACUAGGUGUGGUUGUUAGCUGUAUCCAGUGGGACUGUACUAGGUGUGGUUGUUAGCUGUAUCCAGUGAGACUGUACUAGGUGUGGUUGAUAGAUAGCUGUAUCCAGUGAGACUGUACUAGGUGUGGUUGAUAGAUAGCUGUAUCCAGUGGGACUG